CCUACGGGUGGCUGCAGUAGGGAAUAUUGCUCAAUGGGCGAAACCCUGAAGCAGCAACGCCGCGUGAAGGAUGAAGGUCUUCGGAUUGUAAACCCCUUUUUUUAGAGAAGAUAAUGACUGUAUCUAACGAAGAAUCACCGGCUAACUCCGUUCCAGCAGCCGCGGUAAUACGGAGGGUCCAAGCGUUACUCGGAAUCACUGGGCGUAAAGAGCACGUAGGCGGGAUAGCAAGUCAGAGGUGAAAUCCUAUGGCUUAACCAUAGAACUGCAUUUGAAACUGUUCUUCUAGAGUAUGGGAGAGGUAGGUGGAAUUCGUGGUGUAGCGGUAAAAUCCGUAGAGAUCAAGAGGAACACUCAUUGCGAAGGCGACCUGCUAGAACAUAACUGACGCUGAUGCGCGAAAGCGUGGGGAGCAAACAGGAUUAGAUACCCGGGUAGUC
rnacentral:rRNA from 1 species